GAUGAAGAACGCAGCGAAAUGCGAUAAGUAAUGUGAAUUGCAGAAUUCAGUGAAUCAUCGAAUCUUUGAACGCACAUUGCGCCCCCUGGUAUUCCGGGGGGCAUGCCUGUCCGAGCGUCAUUAUAACCCUCAAGCUCAGCUUGGUGUUGGGGCCUGCUGCACUGGCAGCCCUUAAAAUCAGUGGCGGCGCCAUCUGGCUCUAAGCGUAGUAAUUCUUCUCGCUAUGGAGUCCUGGUGGAUGCUUGCCAUCAACCCCCAAUUUUUCUAUGGUUGACCUCGGAUCAGGUAGGGAUACCCGCUGAACUUAAGCAUAUCAAUAAGCGGAGGA
rnacentral:misc_RNA from 1 species